UACGUAGGUGGCAAGCGUUAUCCGGAUUUAUUGGGCGAUAAAGCGAGCGCAGGCGGUUCCUUAAGUCUGAUGUGAAAGCCUUCGGCUUAACUGAAGAAGUGCAUCGGAAACUGGGGAACUUGAGUGCAGAAGAGGAUAGUGGAACUCCAUGUGUAGCGGUGAAAUGCGUAGAUAUAUGGAAGAACACCAGUGGCGAAGGCGGCUGUCUGGUCUGUAACUGACGCUGAGGCUCGAAAGCAUGGGUAGCAAACAGG
rnacentral:rRNA from 1 species